CGCGGGGUGGAGCAGCUUGGUAGCUCGUCGGGCUCAUAACCCGAAGGUCGUUGGUUCAAAUCCAGCCCCCGCUACCA
rnacentral:tRNA from 17 species